AUGAGGACUGUGAGUGUGCUGAUGUGCAUGAGAGCUUUGUUAAAGGGAAGUGAAACACUGUGUGACGCUCGUCCCACCCUGACGGUGCUGCCCCCCUCCAGAGAGGAGCUACAGCAGGGGAAGGCCAUGCUCAUGUGCCUGGCCAACAAUGGCUUCCCCUCAGACUGGAGUCUGUCCUGGAAGGUGGACAGCAGCAGCAGCAGCAGCUGGGAGGAGGGCAGGAGCCCAGGGGUGCUGCAGGAGGACGGCCUCUACAGCUGGAGCAGCACCCUGAGGCUCCCUGCAGACCAGUGGGAGAAGGUGGGCUCUGUGACCUGUGAGGCCACCCAGGGCUCCCACGCUCCUCUCUCACAGACACUGAGGAGAGACCAGUGUUCCCAGUCCUGA